rnacentral:rRNA from 1 species
UGGUGGCGACCGGCGCACGGGUGAGUAACGCGUAUGCAACCCACCUAUCAGAGGGGAAUAACCCGGCGAAAGUCGGACUAAUACCGCAUAAAACAGGGGCACCGCAUGGUGAUAUUUGUUAAAGAAAUUCGCUGAUAGAUGGGCAUGCGUUCCAUUAGGUAGUUGGUGAGGUAACGGCUCACCAAGCCGACGAUGGAUAGGGGAACUGAGAGGUUGGUCCCCCACACUGGUACUGAGACACGGACCAGACUCCUACGGGAGGCAGCAGUGAGGAAUAUUGGUCAAUGGGCGAGAGCCUGAACCAGCCAAGUCGCGUGAAGGAAGAAGGAUCUAUGGUUCGUAAACUUCUUUUGCAGGGGAAUAAAGUGCAGGACGUGUCCUGUUUUGUAUGUACCCUGAGAAUAAGGAUCGGCUAACUCCGUGCCAGCAGCCGCGGUAAUACGGAGGAUCCGAGCGUUAUCCGGAUUUAUUGGGUUUAAAGGGUGCGUAGGUGGUUUGAUAAGUCAGCGGUGAAAGUUUGCAGCUUAACUGUAAAAAUGCCGUUGAAACUGUCGGACUUGAGUGUAAAUGAGGUAGGCGGAAUGCGUGGUGUAGCGGUGAAAUGCUUAGAUAUCACGAAGAACUCCGAUUG